GAACGGUAGCACAGAGAGCUUGCUCUCGGGUGACGAGUGGCGGACGGGUGAGUAAUGUCUGGGAAACUGCCCGAUGGAGGGGGAUAACUACUGGAAACGGUAGCUAAUACCGCAUAACGUCUUCGGACCAAAGUGGGGGACCUUCGGGCCUCACACCAUCGGAUGUGCCCAGAUGGGAUUAGCUAGUAGGUGGGGUAAUGGCUCACCUAGGCGACGAUCCCUAGCUGGUCUGAGAGGAUGACCAGCCACACUGGAACUGAGACACGGUCCAGACUCCUACGGGAGGCAGCAGUGGGGAAUAUUGCACAAUGGGCGCAAGCCUGAUGCAGCCAUGCCGCGUGUAUGAAGAAGGCCUUCGGGUUGUAAAGUACUUUCAGCGGGGAGGAAGGCGAUGAGGUUAAUAACCUUAUUGAUUGACGUUACCCGCAGAAGAAGCACCGGCUAACUCUGUG
rnacentral:rRNA from 1 species